CGAAAACGAAUUCUCUCUUGAGUGGAUCCUGAGUACGACGGAGCACGUGAAAUUCCGUCGGAAUCUGGGAGGACCAUCUCCUAAGGCUAAAUACUCUCUAGUGACCGAUAGUGAACCAGUACCGUGAGGGAAAGGUGAAAAGUACCCCGGAAGGGGAGUGAAAGAGAACUUGAAACCGUGUGCUUACAAGUAGUCAGAGCCCGUUAAUGGGUGAUGGCGUGCCUUUUGUAGAAUGAACCGGCGAGUUACGAUCUGAUGCAAGGUUAAGCAGAAAAUGUGGAGCCGUAGCGAAAGCGAGUCUGAAUAGGGCGAAUGAGUAUUUGGUCGUAGACCCGAAACCAGGUGAUCUACCCUUGGUCAGGUUGAAGUUCAGGUAACACUGAAUGGAGGACCGAACCGACUUACGUUGAAAAGUGAGCGGAUGAACUGAGGGUAGCGGAGAAAUUCCAAUCGAACUUGGAGAUAGCUGGUUCUCUCCGAAAUAGCUUUAGGGCUAGCCUCAAGUGAUGAUUAUUGGAGGUAGAGCACUGUUUGGACGAGGGGCCCCUCUCGGGUUACCGAAUUCAGACAAACUCCGAAUGCCAAAUAAUUUAACUUGGGAGUCAGAAUGUGGGUGAUAAGGUCCAUAUUCGAAAGGGAAACAGCCCAGACCACCAGCUAAGGUCCCAAAAUAUAUGUUAAGUGGAAAAGGAUGUGGCGUUGCCCAGACAACUAGGAUGUUGGCUUAGAAGCAGC
rnacentral:rRNA from 1 species